CAGAGUGGGGGGACACCUCGGGCGCGCCGGAUAAGGUUGGCCAGCCGCUUGGCCAGGCCACCUGUGCGGGGCUCCUCGAUGUGGAAGGUUCGGGUGAGGAGAUUGUAGAAGGAGCCAUAGCACACGGCCACCACAGUGCACCUCAAACUGGAUGGAAACCUUGGUGACUGAGUUGGCCGGCAGCUGAAUCAGCAUCUCCAGGAGGUGGGGUUGCAGCCGGUCCUGGGCAGGCUGGUAGUGGAUGUAACCUGG
rnacentral:lncRNA from 1 species